AGAUGCGUUGACACAGUUAUAACGAAUGAACCAACACAAGUGAAUUCUGACUUGUCGUAUUUCAGAAAAAUAUUUAUGCCCAUUGGAAUCUCAAUUACAAUGCUGCUUUCCCCUUGGAGUAUUUCAGAAAAUGACUACAAAAGAGAGAAAAGGAAAACUGAAUAUGCCGAUUGGAAGACUUCAUGGAGCAGGAGAAACCAAAGCAUGUAGGAAGGGACGUGGAUGUAGUUGUGGCAUUCCCUUCUUUCCUGGUGGGAUAUCCUUGUCUCUUCAGGCCUUGAGAAGAGCUGACUGAACUGGCAGAGUGGAAAGAUGAAACUGAAUGUGGAGAAAGGGAAGGAGCUUCCGAGCCAAGUCAGAUCAAAGAAUGUUCGAGGAUGAUUUAGCAUUUGGAACACUUCAAAAAGUGUGACAUGAGCUGUUCUUUUCACCCCCAGCCUCAAAUAUGCAUCCAAUAGUCUCGGAAUAGCUUUCAUAUGCAAAGCAAUAAAGAGAAGCGACUUUUCCAUGAAAGGCAUUGUCAUUCCUUGCCUUUCACAGAGCUGGGGCCCGAAAGCACUGAAGGGAGAAGCGUAAAAUGUCAAAGAUUCCUCUUUUUAUUUUUUAAAAACCUUUUAUAGAACUGAGGGUCUUGUUAACCCCCUGACACUCAAACAUAGGUUGUGAAUGUUUAAAACUACCAUUUCAAAUGCUUGUAUCUCUCUACUGAGUUAAUUUGAUGAUUAUUUGACUGUGGUUUGCAAUUCUUUAAAAGAAUGAAUGAGCCUGGUAAACACUGAAUGAGGGUACCCGAAUAAGGCACCCUUCCCAGAGUGCUGAUAUUGUGAAUUUUUUAUGGUUUGCUGAACAGGCAUGUAGCAGAAGUUUGUUUAGUUGUCCUUUGAAGUUCACUGGUAGGUCUCCAUCAUAUUGAAGGUACCUGACAGCUGAGAUGUGACAUACAAUUAUUUCCUUUCUUCCUUUUCUUAAAAAAAUAAACCCUGCAGUUGAGAUAUAUCAUUCUGCUCUGUGCCUUGACCUUGUAGAGAAUCCAUUAAAUAUAUAAACCUUGUACAGAAGAUAGAACUCCAAGUAAAACUAAGAAAAUACA